rnacentral:ncRNA from 2 species
ACUGACCAUUAGGGGAAUCCUUUUAAAGGACUGAGAGAGGAGUGCGACUCCGAUACCCUUAUUACCUGAACAGGUUUGAACCUGCGGAGGGAAGUGGCGUGUCUUUCAU